GGAGACGCGGUGGCUUCCUCCUGCCCCCCCCCCCCCGGAGGUCCCCGCUGCUGCGUCCUUGGCCCUCUUUCAGGGAAACCUCGAUUUUCCAAACUCGGGAAGGCUGGCUACUGCUAAGGACGCGAGCGCCGGGUGUAAAAAGAAUUUACAUAAUAAUAAUAAUAAUAAUCAUGCCCGCAAAGAAACAGCCAGAUCUGAGGAAGAACCCAAUAGAGCCGGCAGCUUAGAGCUGGACUGGCGCGCCCGGAGCUCGUGAGAGCUGCAAUGCCGAUCAUCAGAGCCACCAUUUAUUGCACGCUAAACUCUUGCCCGGCACUGCGCUGAAGCGCGUGCAGGCUGCAACCGUCGGGGUCGUUGGGAUCAUACUCUCCAUCUUAAAGAUCAGGAAACCAAAGCACGUGGAAAUAAGGGGCCACCGGCCACCAAGAGCCUGCAUCCAGGUUUCUCCACUCCCUGCCCUGCCAGUUUGAUCCCGCAAGUGGGCGGAUCGCGGAUCCUAUCAUGUCAAAAAGCGCAGGUGUUUGCAAAAAAAAAAAAAAAAAAAAAAA